UACGGGGGGGGCAAGCGUUGUUCGGAAUUACUGGGCGUAAAGGGCUUGUAGGUGGCCAACUAAGUCAGACGUGAAAUCCCUCGGCUUAACCGGGGAACUGCGUCUGAUACUGGAUGGCUUGAGUUUGGGAGAGGGAUGCGGAAUUCCAGGUGUAGCGGUGAAAUGCGUAGAUAUCGUGAGGAACACCGGUGGCGAAAGCGGCUCACUGGAUCGAGUCUGACACUGAGGUGCGAAAGCUAGGGUAGCAAACGGG
rnacentral:rRNA from 1 species